UACGUAGGGUGCAAGCGUUAAUCGGAAUUACUGGGCGUAAAGCGUGCGCAGGCGGUUAUGCAAGACAGAUGUGAAAUCCCCGGGCUUAACCUGGGAACUGCAUUUGUGACUGCAUAGCUAGAGUACGGUAGAGGGGGAUGGAAUUCCGCGUGUAGCAGUGAAAUGCGUAGAUAUGCGGAGGAACACCGAUGGCGAAGGCAGUCCCCUGGACCUGUACUGACGCUCAUGCACGAAAGCGUGGGGAGCAAACGGG
rnacentral:rRNA from 1 species